GCCAGUCUGGUGUAGUGGUUUGAGUGUUGGUCUACGACUCUUGAAGACCAGGGUUCAAAUCCCAGCUCAGGCA